rnacentral:rRNA from 1 species
GUGAGGAAUAUUGGUCAAUGGGCGAGAGCCUGAACCAGCCAAGUCGCGUGAAGGAAGAAGGAUCUAUGGUUCGUAAACUUCUUUUGCAGGGGAAUAAAGUGCAGGACGUGUCCUGUUUUGUAUGUACCCUGAGAAUAAGGAUCGGCUAACUCCGUGCCAGCAGCCGCGGUAAUACGGAGGAUCCGAGCGUUAUCCGGAUUUAUUGGGUUUAAAGGGUGCGUAGGUGGUUUGAUAAGUCAGCGGUGAAAGUUUGCAGCUUAACUGUAAAAAUGCCGUUGAAACUGUCGGACUUGAGUGUAAAUGAGGUAGGCGGAAUGCGUGGUGUAGCGGUGAAAUGCAUAGAUAUCACGCAGAACGCCGAUUGCGAAGGCAGCUUACUAAGCUACAACUGACACUGAAGCACGAAAGCGUGGGGAUCAAACAGGAUUAGAAACCCCGGUAGUCC